AAACACACAAUUCAAAAGAUUAUUAGACUAUUUAAAUAUAAUAUUUAUAAUCAGGUCAUAACUCCCUUCCUUUUAUCCAUUUUAUAUUGUUGUGAAAAAAACAGCAUUUCGUCGAAAAACAAGAUUUUGCAUAUGGCCCCUAAUCCUAAAAGUUCGGACCGGCCCUGCUAGCUAGAACCGGCCCUGCUAGCCGGAACCGGCCCUGCUAGCUGCGCUCCUAAAGUUGGAGGAGCUGCUGGAGAUGCUCCUGUCAUGAGGAGAGACGCAGCAUGUUGGUAUGGACUAAAUUCAUUCAUUGCAGCCUUAUUACCCAAAGGAGACGAAGACAGGAGUAAGUAGAAAGGAGAAGCUGGAAACAGAUUCUGCAGGACUUGUUUGACUUGUGGGAGCAGGGCUUGAAGAUGGCAGAGAUGGAGUGAGCGUAGCAGAUGGGGCAGAGGUCUUCUUCACUGGUUGGCUACGACAGAGAGAGAAAAACACUUGUUAGGACAUCUGUGUCACCUCUGCAGUCAUUCUCUUUGUUUAUGUUAAACUGUUAUAAGCUUUGAACAAAAGAAUAAUGAAUAAAGUAGAUAAAUCCACA